AGUGAACGCUGGCGGUAGGCCUAACACAUGCAAGUCGAACGGCAGCACAGUAAGAGCUUGCUCUUACGGGUGGCGAGUGGCGGACGGGUGAGGAAUACAUCGGAAUCUACUUUUUCGUGGGGGAUAACGUAGGGAAACUUACGCUAAUACCGCAUACGACCUACGGGUGAAAGCAGGGGAUCUUCGGACCUUGCGCGAUUGAAUGAGCCGAUGUCGGAUUAGCUAGUUGGCGGGGUAAAGGUCCACCAAGGCGACGAUCCGUAGCUGGUCUGAGAGGAUGAUCAGCCACACUGGAACUGAGACACGGUCCAGACUCCUACGGGAGGCAGCAGUGGGGAAUAUUGGACAAUGGGCGCAAGCCUGAUCCGGCCAUACCGCGUGGGUGAAGAAGGCCUUCGGGUUGUAAAGCCCUUUUGUUGGGAAAGAAAAGCAGCAGGUUAAUACCCCGCUGUUCUGACGGUACCCAAAGAAUAAGCACCGGCUAACUUCGUG
rnacentral:rRNA from 1 species